rnacentral:sRNA from 1 species
AGCGGUUUAUUCCACGCCGAGACGGUGG